rnacentral:lncRNA from 1 species
AAAACAUCUUGUGCCAUCUGAGUUUCAAAUUUAUAUAUGUCAAUGUUGGCAAAUGCCAACGGGCAUGCACUUUCGAUUCUUCUGGUACGUGUACAUAUGACCUUGGAGCCUUAAUUAACCAUUCCUCCCUAACUCGGUGCUUUGUCACGGUGCCGAAGCAACGCUGCUGCUCUGCCUUGCAAUUAAUAACCAAACCUAAAAUUAGUAGUAUACGAGAGAUGCGCAUACGUCAUACGAUCAAUUUUUCCUGCGUAAUCCCGCUCGCGGCGAACAGGGCGGCAGGUGCAGGCGACACGGAUCAAGCGUGAGCAGGCGACCGCACUGCCGGACGAGGCGACGGCAAUCGUCCGUGACAAAAUGAAAUGCAUAUACCACAGGACCACCCACAGCAGAAAAAGGUAUGUCGCGGCAGCCACAUCAGGUGUCUGACGGCGACCGCCGAGCUGAUUUACGACGAACUCCAGACUCCCGUGGCCUCAUCUGGAACAGGACACCGUCACCGUCGAUUGGGCCUGCGGAUGAUUGGCGUAUUCCAAGGAUAGUCUUGUUUCAAGCCGGCCACCGGCUCAUCUGGGAAUAGAGAGAUGACAAUGGGUGGUGUAACACGGGUGGAGCAAAUACCCAUCCGUAUUAUAUAAGUGGGAGUUUCUACUAUAUAAUUCUUCUAUUUUUUUUAUUUAUCGUCUUUUUACUUUAAAAAUAAACUAGCGGACCACAAAUAUUUGAAAACAGAUGUAACAUUGUAUUUAAGUGGGAGUUUAUCCUUUCGUGCGUCGUCUUCUCCAACGAGCGCAGCAAACAAAAGUCCAAACAUAAGUGUGGUGCUAGGGUUCGAACCGUCGCCCACUCCCCUCCCACGGCCAAGUUCUAACAUGAGUGUGGUGUCGGGUCACGUUACACUACCGUCAGCGAGCGCUGCACACAAUGUCGUUCUUAGACAACCUAUGCACGACGUGACU